AGUGAACGCUGGCGGUAGGCCUAACACAUGCAAGUCGAACGGCAGCACAGUAAGAGCUUGCUCUUACGGGUGGCGAGUGGCGGACGGGUGAGGAAUACAUCGGAAUCUACUUUUUCGUGGGGGGUAACGUAGGGAAACUUACGCUAAUACCGCAUACGACCUACGGGUGAAAGCAGGGGAUCUUCGGACCUUGCGCGAUUGAAUGAGCCGAUGUCGGAUUAGCUAGUUGGCGGGGUAAAGGCCCACCAAGGCGACGAUCCGUAGCUGGUCUGAGAGGAUGAUCAGCCACACUGGAACUGAGACACGGUCCAGACUCCUACGGGAGGCAGCAGUGGGGAAUAUUGGACAAUGGGCGCAAGCCUGAUCCAGCCAUACCGCGUGGGUGAAGAAGGCCUUCGGGUUGUAAAGCCCUUUUGUUGGGAAAGAAAAGCAGCAGGUUAAUACCCCGCUGUUCUGGCGGUACCCAAAGAAUAAGCACCGGCUAACUUCGUG
rnacentral:rRNA from 1 species